CCCGGAGCGGUCACGUACGGGACCCGUCCACGCCCGCGCACUUGCGCGGCAGGAUGCAAGGGUCCGCGAUGCCCGGCCCGGUCGGAGGCUGGCCGAUG
rnacentral:ncRNA from 1 species